rnacentral:rRNA from 1 species
UACGGAGGGGACUAGCGUUGUUCGGAAUUACUGGGCGUAAAGCGCACGUAGGCGGAUUUGUAAGUCAGGGGUGAAAUCCCGGGGCUCAACCUCGGAACUGCCUUUGAUACUGCAAAUCUCGAGUCCGGAAGAGGUGAGUGGAAUUCCUAGUGUAGAGGUGAAAUUCGUAGAUAUUAGGAAGAACACCCGUGGCGAAAGCGGCUCUCUGGAACGGUACUGACGCUGAGACGCGAAAGCGUGGGGAGCGAACAGG